rnacentral:tRNA from 1 species
GGGGAUGUAGCUCAGUGGUGCAGUACUUGCCUAGCACGCACAAGACCUUGGAUUCAAUCCCCAGCCAUCCCCC